AAAAACAAAUCCUGAGCAGAAAAAGAGAAAAUAGAUUCCGUGUUCUAUCAAAAUCGGCCCAAAUUGAGAACCCGCUUCAUCCCACCAUUUUAUGCCAAAUCACUAAAAGUUUGAAACCCUUGAGCACAAUGAACCCGGCAACUCUGCGACACUUCUUCAACUGCGGUAGCUAAACUUUCCAUCGCGUCAGAAGCCAUUUGCUCCAUAUCUUUGAUUUUUAGUUCGUGCACAGUUUUAACCCGUUGUUGUUUAUUGCUUCGAAGGCGACACCACCCAUCUUCUUCUACAUAAUAGUCAGCAAACGGAAGUAAGUAUGUUGUUCGAUUUAAUGGGUAUGGAUUUCUUUGCAUAAAUUCAAAUUUGUAGCCUGUAACACAAUAAGUUUGAUUUAGUGGAUUUGUUUAUCUUCAAAUCCAAAUCUGUCGGAUCUAUUUUAAUUUUCAUGGGUGAGACAUGGGAAGGUGAUGGUGGUGGUGGGAUGUUGUGGGAUUAUUUAAGACUUUAUCUCUAUUUCUUGCAACUUAAAUUGUUGGUCGAAUCCUACAAACAUGAAAGAUGAAGAUGGAGAAUCCUACAUCUGAACAACUGAAAUUCUUAUUUUUAUUUAAUUUAAAUUUUUUGCUACACACAUUUCGAAGAGUCUAAGUUCAAUUUUGCCAAAAUACCAUUGCUUCCGGGGGCAACUCCAAUCCUAACACCAUUGCAUCAUUUGACACCAUUUUUUAGUGUAAAGUUACUCUAAUGCAACACCAAACUUUGCAUCAUUUUGCAAAGUGAAUAGUGCUGUACCAUAUUUGGUGCAACACUAUUCAUUACACAAUUUUUUGCCUCAAAUGAUGCAAUGUUCAUUUUGCCCUUAUUUUUUAUUUUUUCAAAGAUAAUGGUUAAGGGUAUUUGUUUCAUUUUUGUUCGAUGAUGAUGAUAAUGAUGAUGAUGAUAAUAAUAAUAAUAAUAAUAAAUUACACUAUUAAUUAUAUUAUUAAAGUUUAUUAUUUUUAAUAAUAUAAUCAAUAAUAAUUAACAUAAAGUUUAAUUCGUAAAAUUUACGUUUAAAGUUUAAUUUAACUUAAAGUUUAUAUUAUUAAAGUUUAUUAUUUUUGUAAAUUUAACAUAAUUGUUUAUCAUAAAUUAAUAAUAUAAUCAGUUAUUUUUGUCAAUUUAACAUAAUAUAUAAAACACGUAAAUAAUUUAGUAAUCAAUAUAUUUGUUAAUUUAACGAAGUUAUGAUUUAGUAAUUUAUAUAGAUAUAAAAUAAAUAAAUAAUUUUUUAAAUAAAUACGUUGAUAAAAAUCGAAAGAAUGAAUAACAUAAUAAAGCACUAUUCAUUUGAUGUAAGUUUUGGUGUAAUGGUUGAAGAAUAAUUUUGGUUUGGUGCAAAACGGUGUAAAUUUUGGUGCAGCCUGGUGAUGGCCUGAAUUGCAUCUCGUUAUCAUUCGGUUGUUUUUUUUAGCUCGGUACUACAUACGCUUCCCAUUUUAUAAAGGUCAUGAAAUCAAAAUAUGAUUAUGUUUGUGGUAUUUUUCAGCUUAUGCAUAUGUUAUAGUGUUGUAUGUAUUUUCUCAUUAACAAGCUGCUUGGAUUAUUGACAUUCCAUCUUUUGUGAUUGAGUCCUAGUUGACAAUGGUAGGAAAAUAAUCAAGGAGUUGUCAUAGUUGUAGAAAGGAGGGUCAUUCUUUUGCAUAAUGUCCAAGGAAAUGUCCUUGCCAAUGGUGUAAGCAUACCUUCGUAAAAUGUUUUAAAGUGGAGAAGGAGAAUGAUAACAAAGGCAGACCGUUCAAUUCUUGUAGUGCGAAAUGUGUAGUUCGAGCUACUGAAAUGAGUAGUGAAUCUAGUUCAGCUAAAGAUCUUUCAAGCAUGUUUGAAACUCUUUGUCGAUUAACUAAUAAGUAGGAUGUGGAGAUUUAUGUGAACGUGACAAUACGUAAAGGAAGAGCAAGUACAGAAAGGGAUAAGAAAGGAAAGAGAAAUGAUUGAGUUGUAUAGCUAUUAAUGUACUGAUGUUGUUAUUUCAAUUAUGUUGUUUAUGACUCGAUAGUGUGAUUAGGAUGUAAUGGAUAACGACUUUGCUCUUUUAAUCAUAUUAUCAGUAUUCAAUCUCAGUAUUUAGUUGUCCA
rnacentral:lncRNA from 1 species